UGGGGAAUAUUGCACAAUGGGCGCAAGCCUGAUGCAGCCAUGCCGCGUGUGUGAAGAAGGCCUUCGGGUUGUAAAGCACUUUCAGCGAGGAGGAAGGUGGUGAACUUAAUACGUUCAUCAAUUGACGUUACUCGCAGAAGAAGCACCGGCUAACUCCGUGCCAGCAGCCGCGGUAAUACGGAGGGUGCAAGCGUUAAUCGGAAUUACUGGGCGUAAAGCGCACGCAGGCGGUUUGUUAAGUCAGAUGUGAAAUCCCCGGGCUCAACCUGGGAACUGCAUUUGAAACUGGCAAGCUAGAAGUCUCGUAGAGGGGGUAGAAUUCCAGGUGGUAGCGGUGAAAUGCGUAGAGAUCUGGAAGGAAUACCGGUGGCGAAGGCAGCCCCCUGGACGAAGACUGACCGCUCAGGUGCGAAAGCGUGGGGAGCAAACAGG
rnacentral:rRNA from 1 species